rnacentral:rRNA from 1 species
UUCUCUGGUUGAUCCUGCCAGAGGUCACUGCUAUUGGGAUCCGACUAAGCCAUGCGAGUCGAGAGGGUUCGGCCCUCGGCUGACGGCUCAGUAACACGUGGAUAAUCUGCCCUAAGGUGGAGGAUAACCUCGGGAAACUGAGAAUAAUACCUCAUAGGUUAUGGAUGCUGGAAUGCUUCAUAGCCCAAAGCCCCGGCGCCUAAGGAUGACUCUGCGGACUAUCAGGUAGUAGUCAGGGUAACGACCUGACUAGCCUACGACGGAUACGGGGUGUGAGAGCACUAGCCCGGAGAUGGAUUCUGAGACACGAAUCCAGGCCCUACGGGGUGCAGCAGGCGCGAAACUUCCGCAAUGCUCGACAGAGUGACGGAGGGAUUCCAAGUGCCUAUGCUAUGCGUAGGCUGUUUUUAUGUCUAAAUAACAUGGAGAGUAAGAGCUGGGUAAGACGGGUGCCAGCCGCCGCGGUAAUACCUGCAGCUCGAGUGGUAACCGCUAUUAUUGGGCCUAAAGCGUCCGUAGCCGGUUUGGUAAAUAUCUGGGUAAAUCGUGAGGCUUAACUUCACGAAUUUCGGAUAGACUGCCAGACUUGGGAUCGGGGGAGGUCAGAGGUACUCCAGGGGGAGCGGUGAAAUGUUGUAAUCCUUGGAGGACCACCGGUAGCGAAGGCGUCUAGCCAGAACGGGUCUGACGGUGAGGGACGAAGCCCUGGGGCGCAAACGGGAUUAGAUACCCCGGUAGUCCAGGGUGUAAACGCUGCUUGCUUGAUGUUAGUCGGGCUCCGAGCCCGAUUAGUGUCGGAGAGAAGUUGUUAAGCAAGCUGCCUGGGAAGUACGGUCGCAAGACUGAAACUUAAAGGAAUUGGCGGG